rnacentral:rRNA from 1 species
CGAACGCUGGCGGCAUGGAUUAGGCAUGCAAGUCGAACGAAAAACAGAAGCUUGCUUCUGUGGACGAGUGGCGAAAGGGUGAGUAACGCGUGAGUAACCUGCCCUCAAGUUGGGGAUAACUCUUGGAAACGAGGGCUAAUACCGAAUGUGAAUAUUUUCUCGCAUGGGAUUAUAUUUAAAAAUUUAUUGCUUGAGGAUGGGCUCGCGUACCAUUAGCUAGUUGGUGUGGUAACGGCAUACCAAGGCUACGAUGGUUAGGUGGAUUGAGAGAUCGGUCACCCACACUGGGACUGAGACACUGCCCAGACUCCUACGGGAGGCUGCAGUCGAGAAUCUUCCGCAAUGCGCGAAAGCGUGACGGAGCAAUGCCGCGUGGUGGAUGAAGGCCUUAGGGUUGUAAACACCUGUCACAUGGGACGAAUUUUGACGGUACCAUGAGAGGAAGCCACGGCUAACUAC